UCCUCCAAGUUGUGAAAUGUUUCACAGAUUUGUCACUGUUCUUUAUUGAUGCGUAGUAUUCCAUUGUGUGAAUAUACCACAGUUUAUUUAACCAUUCAUCUGUUGAUGGACACCUUGGUUGCUUCCAGCUUUUUGCUAUUGUAAACAGAGCUGCAGUAAACGUGGGUGUGCAUAUAUCUGUUUGUGUGAAGGCUCUUAAUUCUCUAGGGUAUAUUCCGAGGAGUGGGAUUUCUGGGUUGUAUGGUACUUCUAUUUCUAACUGUUUAAGAUAACGCCAGAUAGAUUUCCAAAGUGGUUGUAUCAUUUGACAUUCCCACCAGCAGUGUAUAAGAGUUCCAAUCUCUCCGCAGCCUCUCCAACAUUUAUUCUUUUGUGUUUUUUGGAUUAAUGCCAGCCUUGUUGGAGUGAGAUGGAAUCUCAUCAUACUUUUAAUUUGCAUUUCUCUAAUGGCUAAUGAUCGAGAGCGUUUUCUCAUGUAUCGGUGAGCUGCCUGAAUAUUGUCUUUAGUGAAGUGUGUGUUUAUAUCCUUUGCCCACUUCUUGAUAGGGUUGUUUGUCUUUUUGUGGUUGAGUUUUGACAGAAUCAUAUAGAUUUUAGAGAUCAGGCGCUGGUCGGAGAUGUCAUAGCUGAAAAUUCUUUCCCAGUCUGUAGGUGAUCUUUUUACUCUUUUAGUGAAAUCUUUAGAUGAGCAUGGGUGUUUGAUUUUUAGGAGCUCCCAGUAGUCUGGUUUCUCUUCGUCAUUUUUGCUGAUGUUUUGUAUUCUGUUUAUGCCUUGUAUUAGGGCUCCUAAGGUUGUUAGGGUGAAGUUUUAGAUAGCGUGAGGGUUACGGUUAUGGCUAAGGUUUGCUUGAGUUCUUCAGGUUAGUGUUAAGGUUACGUUUAGGGUGAGGGUUAAGUUUAAGGGUUCUGUUUAGUUUUAGGGUUAGGGUCAGAUUUUAGGUUAGGGUUAAGUUUAAUGUGGUUAGGCUUAGAUUUAUGGUUGUGUUAGGCGUUGUGGUUGGGGUGAGGGUUAGGUUUAGGGUUAGGGUUGGGUAGGGUUAGGAUUAUGGUUAUGGUAAGGUGUUAGGGGUUAGAGGUGUAGUUUAGCGUUAGGUUUGGGUGAGGGCUUCGGUUAGGUGUUGUGGUUCUGGUCAUGGUUAGGUUUGGGUUCGGGUUAGGUUUAUGAUUAGGCUUCGGGUUAGUGUUAGAGUUAGGGUGAGAGGCUUUAGGUUUGUGUUAGGCUUUGGUGUUAGGGGUUAGGGUUUGGGUUAGGGUUAAGGUUAUCAUUAGGGCUCAGGGGUUUCAGAUUAGUGUUAGGGUUAGGGAUAACAUUUUGGUUAGGGUUGGGGGAUACGGUUAGGGGUUAGAGUGAAGGUUACGGUUAGUUUUACAGUUAAGGUGAGGGUUUCGGGUAAGUGUUAUGAUAAGGGUUAGAGUUAGAGUUAGGGUUAGGAUUAGGUCUAGGGUAUGGAUUAGGAUUAGGUUUAGGGUUAGGUUCAGGGCUAUUAUAAGUCUUAGGUUUAGGGUUACAGAUCGACUAGCGUUAUGGUUAGAGUUGGGUUUAAGGUUAGGGUUUGGGUUAGGUUCAGGUUUAGGGUUAAGGUUAGGGUUAGGGUUUGGAUGAAGUUUAGGAUAGGGUGAGAGUUAUUUUUAUGGUUAGGGCUAGAGUUUGGGUUUAUGUUCAGGUUAGUGUUAAGGUAAGUUUUAGGGUUCGGUUAGGGUUAAGGGUUAUGUUUAGGGUUAGUGUUAGGUUUAGGUUUAGGGUUAGUGUGAAGUUUAGGUUAAGGGUGAGGGCUAGAAAUAGGGUCAGGAGUAAAGAUAGUGUUAGACGUUAGUUUUAGGGUGUUAGGGUUAGAUUUAUGGUUAGGGUAGGGUUGAAUUUAGGGUUAAUAUUAGGGUUAGAUUAGGGUUCCUGUUCGUAUUAGGAUUAGAGUUAGGGAUAAAGUUGGGGACAGCGUUAGGUUUAGGGUUGUGGAUACGGGUAAGGGUUAGGUUGAGGGUUAGGGUUAGGGUUAGGUUUACACUUAAGGUGAGGGUUAUGGUAAUUGUUAUGGUUAGGGUUAGAGUUACAGCUAGGCUUAGGGUUAGGUGAAGUUUCAGUUAAUAGUCAGGGUUAGGGUUAAGGUUAGAGUAGGGUUAAGGUUAGUGUUAGGGAUAGGUAUAGGUUUAGGGUUAGGGUUUGGGUAAGGUUAGGGUUAAGGCUAGGUUUACGGUAAAGGGUAGGGCUAGCUUAGGGUUAGGGUUAGCUUUAGAGUUAGUGCUAGGGAUUAGGGUCAGGGUUAGGGUCAUGUUUAGAGUUAUUUUUAGGUUUAGGGUUAGGGUUAAGGUAGAGUUAAGUUUAGGGUUAUGUUUAGGGUUAGAGUAAGUGUUAGGUUUAGGUAAGGGUUAGGGCUAGGAUGAGGGAUAGGUUUAGGGGUGGGGAAAGGGUUAGGGGUUCGUAUGAGGGUUAGUGUUAGGUUUACAGUUAAGCUGAUGUUUUAGUGUGUUACAGUUAGGGUUAGGGUUAGAGUUAGAGUUAGGGUUAGGUUUGGGUUUAGGGAUAGAGUCAGGGGAUAGUUUAGGGUUAGGUUUAGUUUUAGGGUUAGGGUUAGGCUUAGGUUUAGGGUGAAGUUUAGGUUAAGGAUGAGGGUUAGGGUAAGGGUUAGUGUUUGGGUUAAGGUUAGGUUUAGGUUUCACGUUAGGGUUAGGUGUUUGUGUUAAUGUUAGCUUAAGAUAUAGGGUUAGGUUUAGAGUUUGGUUUAGGAUUAGGGUUAGGGUGAAGUUUAAUUUAAGGGUGAGAGUUAAGCUUAGGGUUAGGGUUAGGGGUUAGGGUUAGGGUUAAGGUUAGGAUUAGGUUUAAGGUUAAGGUUAGGUUUAGGGUUAGGUUUAGGGUAAGUGUUAGGAUUAAGUCAUGUUUAGGUGUAGGGCUAGGAUAAGGUUAGAGAUAGGAUUAGGUUAAGGGUUGGGUUUAGGUUUAGAUGUUAGGGUGUGGGUUAGUGGUAGGUUUCCAUUUAAGCUGAGUGUGUAGGGUAAUUUUUAUGGUUAGGAUUAUGGUUAGAGUUAGGGUCAGUGUUAGGGUUAAGUUUAGGGUUUAGGUUUAUGGUUAGGAUUUGGUUAGGUUCAGGGUUGGGGAAGAUUUAGUGUUAUGUUUAGUUUUAGGAUAGGGUUAGGGUUAAGUUUAUGUUAAGCGUGAGGGUUAGGGUAAGGAUUAGGAGUUAGGGUUCAGGUUACGGUCAGGGGUAGAUUUAGGGUUAGGUUUAGGGUUUGUUUUAGUUUUGGUUAAGGUUAGGGCUUGAAUAAAGUUAGGGUUGGUUUAGGGUUAUGGUUAGGGUGAAAUUUUGGUUAACGGUGAGGGUUCGGUUUAGGGUUAGGGUUAGGCUUAGAGUUAGGGUUAAUGGUUAGGGUUAGAUUUAGGGUUAAGAUUAGGUUUAGGCUAAGGAUUAGGGUUAGAGUUAGGGUUAGGGGUAAGUGUUUUGGUUAGGUUUAGGGUAGGGUUAUAUUUAGGUUUAAGUUUAGGUUUAGGGUAAGAAUUAGAGUUACGUUUACAGUUAAGAUGAAGGUUUUGGGUAGGUGUUAUGGUUAGGGUUAGGGUUAGAGUUAGGGUUAGGGUUUAGGGUUAGGUGUAGUUUUAUGGUAGGGUUAAAGUUAAGAUUAAGGUUAGGGUAGGGUUAGCAUUAGGAUUAGGUUUAGGGUGAGGUUUCGGGUCAGAGUUAUUGUAAGGGUUAGGUUUAGGGUGACUGGUGGGCCAAGGUUAAGGUUAGGGUUAGGUUUAGGGGUAGGGUUAGGGUUAAAGUUAGGGUUAGCUUUAGGUUGGGGUGGGUGAAGUUUAAGGUAGGGUGAGGGUUAGGGUGAGGGUUAUGGCUAAGGUUCGGGUUAGUUUUCAGGUUAGUGUUAAGGUUAUGUUUAGGGAUAGGGUUAAGUUUACGGGUUAUGUUUAGUUCUGGGUUAGGGUUAGAUUUUUGGUUAGGGUUAAGUUUAGUGUUACGGUUAGGGUUAGGGUUAUGGUUUGUGUUAGGCGUUGUGGUUGGGGUGAGGGUUAGUUUUAGUGUCACGGUUGAUUAGGCUUAGGAUUAUGGUUAUGGUAAGGUGUUAGGGGUUAGAGGUGUAGUUUAUGGUUAGGGUUUGGGUGAGGGUUCCAGUUAGGCAUUGUGGUUCUGGUCAUGGUUAGGUUUGGUUUAGGGUUAGGGUUAGGUUUAUGAUUAGGUUUCGGGUUAGUGUUAGAGUUAGGGUGAGAGUUAGGUUUAAGGUUUGGGUUAGGCUUUGGUGUUAGCGGUUAGGUUUUGGGUUAGGUUUAGUGUUAUCGUUAGGGCUUAGGGGUCCAGGUUAGUGUUAGGGCUAGCAUUAGGGUUAGGGUUGGGUGAUACGUUUAGGGGUUAUGGUGAGUUUUACGGUUAGUUUUACAGUUAAGGUGAGGUUUUAGGGUAAGUGUUAUGAUUAGGGUUAGAGUUAGAGUUAGGGUUAGGUUUAGGGUUAGGGUUAGGUGUAGGGUAAGAUUUAGGUUUAGUUUCAGGUUGAGGGUGAGAGUUAGUGUUCUAUUUAGGGUCAAGGCUAGAGUUAGGGUUAGGAUUAGGUCUAGGGUUAGGAUUAGGAUUAGUUUUAGGGUUAAGUUCAGGGCUAUUGUAAGGCUUAGGUUUAGGGUUACAGGUGGACUAGCGUUAUAGUUAGAGUUAAGUUUAAGUUUAGGGUUUGGGUUAGGUUGAGGUUUACAGUUAAGGUUAGGGUUAGGGUUUGGAUGAAGUUUAGGAUAGGUUGAGGGUUAUUUUUGUGGUUAGGGCUAGAGUUUGGUUUUGUGUUCAGGUUAGUGUUAAGGUUAGGUUUAGGGUUCGGGUUAGGGUAAGGGGUUAUGUUUAGGGUUCGGGUCACGCUUUGGUUUAGGGUUAGUGUGAAGUUUAGGUUAAGGGUGAGGGUUAGGAUAAGGGCUAGGAUUAGGGUUAUGGUAAGGUGUUAGUGGUUAGAAGUGUAGUUUAGGGUUAGGGUUUGGGUGAAGGUUCCAGUUAGGAAUUGUGGUUCUGGUUAGGUUGGGUUUGGUUUCGCGUGAGGGUUAAGUUUAUGAUUAGGUUUCGGGUUAGUGUUAAAGUUAGGGUGAGAGUUAGGGUUAAAGUUUGGAUUAGGCUUUGGUGUUAGGGGUUAGUGUUUGUGUUAGAGUUAGGGUUAUUGUUAGGGCUCAGGGGUUUCAGGUUGGUUUUACGGUUAAGGUUAGGGAUUGCAUUAGGGUUAGGUUUGGGGGAUACAGUUAGGGGUUAGGGUGAGGGUUACGGUUAGUUUUACAGUUAAGGUGAGGGUUUAGGAUAAGUGUUAUGAUUAGGGUUAGAGUUGGAGUUAUUUUUAGGUUUAGGGUUAGGUGUAGGGGAAGAUUUAGGUUUAGGUCCAAGUUUAGGGUUAGAGUUAGUGUUCUCUUUAGGGUCAAGGUUACAGUUAGAGUUAGGUCAGGUUAGGUCUAGGGCUAGGAUUAGGUUUAGGGUUAAGUUCAGGGCUAUUGUAAGGGUUAGGUUUAGGGUUACAAAUAAACUUGCGUUAUGGUUAGAGGUAGGUUUAUGGUUAAGGUUUGGGUUAGCUUUAGGUUUAGGGUUAAGGUUAGUGUUAGGGUUUGGGUGAAGUUUAGGAUAGGUUGAGGGUUUUUUAUGGUUAGGGCUCGAAUUUGGGUUUGUGUUCAGGUUAGCGUUAAGGUUAGGUUUAGGGUUCGGGUUAGGGUUGGGGUUAUAUUUAGGGUUAGGGUUACAUUUUGGUUUAGGGUUAGUGUGAAGUUUAGGUUAAGGGUGAGGGUUAGGAUAAGAGUUAGAAUUAGGGUUAGGAUUAUAGUUAGUGUUAGAGGUUAGAUUUAGGAUGUUAAGGUUAGGUUUAUGGUUAGGGUUGGGUUAAUGUUAGCGUUACGGUUAGAUUAGGGUGAAUGUUCGUGUUUGGGUUAGGGAUAGGGUUAGGGAUAGCAUUAGGUUUAUGGUUGGGGAUACGGUUAGGGGUUAGGGUGAGGGUUGUGGUUAGGGUGAGGGUUAGGGUUAGGUUUACAGUUAAGGUGAGGGUUUAGGGUAAGUGUUAUAGUUAGGGUUCGAGUUAGAGUUUGGGUUAGGUUUAGGGUGAAUUUUCAGUUAAUAGUCAGGGUCAGGGUAAGGGUUAGGGUUAAGAUUACAGUUAGGGUUAAGUUUAGUGUUAGGGUUAGGUUUAGGGUUAGGGUAGAGGUAAGGUUAGGGUUAAGGCUAGGUUUACGGUAAAGGGUAGGGCUAGGUUAGGGUUAGGGUUAGGUUUAGAGUUAGAGCUAGUGCUAGGGUUUAGGGUAAGAGGUAGGGUCAGGUUUAGAGUUUUUGUUAGUUUUAGGGUAGAGUUAAGGUUAAGGUUAAGUUUAGCGUUAGGGUAAGUGUUAGGUUUAGGUCAGGGUUAAGGUUAGGAUUAGGGAUAGGGUUAGAGCUAGGGAAAGGGUUAGGUGUUCGUGUGAGGGUUAGUGUUAGGUGUACACUUAAGCUGAUGUUUUACGGUGUUACGGUUAGGUCAGGGUUGUAGUUAGGGUUAGGAUAAGGUUUAGGUUUAGGGCUAGAUUUAGGGGAUAGUUUAGGGCUAGGUUUAGUUUUAGGGUUAAGGUUAGGCUUAGGUUUAUGGUGAAGUUUAGGUUAAGGAUGAGGGUUAGGGUUAGUGUUAGGGUUAGGUGUUUGGGUUAAGGUUAGGGUUAGGGUUAAGUGUUUCGGUUAAUGUUAGGGUCAGGUUUAGGGUUAGGGUUAGGGUUCGGUUUAGGAUCAGGCUUAGGGUUAGGGUUAGAAUUAGGGUUAGUGGUUAGGGUUAGGCUUAGAGUUACGGUUAGGUUUAGGCUAAAGAUCAGGAUUUGAUUUAGAGUUAGGUGUUAGUGUUUUGGUUAGGUUUAGGGUAGGGUUAUAUUUAGGGUUAGGUUAAGAGUUAGAGUUAUGUUUACAGUUAUGGUGAGGGUUUUGGGUAAGUGUUACGGUUAGGGUUAGGGUUAGUGUUAGGGCUAGGCCUAGGCUUGGGUUUAAAUUUAGGGUUACGGGUUAGGGUUAGGUUUAAGUUUAUGGUACAGUAAAGUUAUGGUUAAGGUUUGGUUAGGGUUAGGGUCAGGGUUAGGAUUAGGAUUAGGGUGAGGGUGAGGGUUAGGGUCAGUGUUAUUGUAAGGGUUAGCUUUAGGGUUACAGGUGGGCCAAGGUUAAGGUUAGGGUUAGGUUUAGGUGUAGGGUUAGGGUGAAAGUUAAGGUGUGCUUUAGAUUAGGGAUAGGGUGAAGUUUAAGAUAGUGUGAGGGUUAGGGUUAUGGCUAAGGUUUGCUUGAGUUUUUCAGGUUAGUGUUAAGGUUAUGUUUAGGGUUAGGAUUAAGUUUAUGGGUUCUGUUUACUUUUAGGGUUAGGGGUAGAUUUUAGGUUAGGGUUAAGUUCAGUGUUACAGUUAGGGUUAGGUUUACGGUUUGUGUUAGGCAUUGUGGUUGGGGUGAGGAUUAGGUUUAGGGUUAGGGUUGGGUAGGGUUAAGAUUAUGGUUAUGGUAAGGUGUUAGGGGUUAGAGGUGUAGUUUAGGGUUAGGGUUUGGGUGAGGGUUCCGGUUAGGCAUUGUGGUUCUGGUCAUGGUUAGGUUUGGUUUAGGGUUAGGGUUAGUUUUAUGAUUAGGUUUCGGCUUAGUGUUAGAGUUAGGGUGAGAGUUAGGGUUAGGCUUUGGUGUUAGGGGUUAGGUUUUGGGUUAGGGUGAGUGUUAUUUUUAGGGCUUAGGGGUUCAGGUGAGUGUUAGGGUUAGGGUUAGGGUUAGGGAUAGCAUUAGGGUUAGGUUUUGGGGAUAUGGUUAGGGGUUAGAUUGAGGAUUACCGUUAGUUUUACAGUUAAGGUGAGGUUUUAGGGUAAGUGUUAUGAUUAGGGUUAGAGUUAGAUUUCGGGUUAGGGUUAGGUGUAGGUUAAAUUUUAGUUUUAAGUCCAGGUUUAGGGUUAGAGUUAGUGUUCUAUUUAGGGUCAAGGUUAGAGUUAGGGUUAGGGUUAGGAUUAAGUCUAGGGUUAGGAUUAGGAUUAGGUUUAGGGUUAGGUUCAGAGCUAUUGUGAGGCUUAGGUUUAGGUUUACAGAUGGACUAGCUUUAUGGUUAGAGUCAGGUUUAAGGUUAGGGUUUGGGCUAGGUUUACGUUUUGGUUAAGGUUAGGCUCAGUGUUUGGAUGAAGUUUAGCAUAGGGUGAGGGUUACUUUUAGGGUUAGGGCUGGAGUUUGGGUUUGUGGUCAGGUUAGUGUCAAGGUUAGGUUUAGGGUCCAAUUUAGGGUUAGGGGUUAUUUUUCAUGUUAGGGUUAGUUUUAGGUUUAGGCUUAGUGUGAAGUUUAGGUUAAGGUUGAGGGUUAGGAUAAGGGUUAGGAUUAUAUUUAGUGUUAGAGGUUAGGUUUAGGGUGCUAGGUUUAGUUUUAUGGUUAGGGUAGGGUUAAAUUUAGGGUUAAUGUUAGGGUUAGUGUUAGAUUAGGGUUACUGUUCAGGUUAGGGUUAGGUUUAGGGUUAGGGAUAGCAUUAGGUUUAGGGUUGGGAAUAUAGUUAGGGGUUAGGGUGAGGGUUCGGUAUAUGGUGAGGGUUAGGUUUAGGUUUACAGUUAAGGUGAAGGUUUAGGGUAAUUGUUAUGGUUAGGGUUAGAGUUAGGGUCACGGUGAAGUUUCAUUUAUUAGUGCGGGUUAGGGUUAAGGUUAGUGUUAGGGUUAGGUUUAGGGUUAGGGUUAGGGUAGUGGUCAGGUUAGGGUUAAGGCUAGGUUUACAGUAAAGGGUAGGGCUAGGUUAGGGUUAGGUUUAGAGUUAGUGCUAGGGUUUAGGGUUAGGGUUAAGGUCAGGUUUAGUUAUUGUUAGGUUUAGGGUUAAGGUUAGGGUAGAGUUAAGGUUAGGGUUAAGUAUAGGGUUAGGGUAAGGUUUAGGUUUAGGUCAGGGUUAGGGUUAGAAUGAGGGAUAGGGUUAGGGUUAGGGAAAGGGUUAGGGGUUCGUGUGAGGGUUAGUGUUAUGUUUACAUUAAGCUGAUGUUUUAGGGUGUUAUGUUUAGAGUUAGGGUUAGAGUUAGGUUAGGUUUAGGGUUAGGGCUAGAGUUAGGGGAUAGUGGUUUAGGCUUAAGUUUAGGGUGAAUUUUAGUUUAAGGAUAAGGGUUAGGGUUAGGGUUAGGUGUUUGGAUUAUUGUUAGGGUCAGGUUUAGGGUUGGUAUUUAGGGUUCAGGUUAGAGUCAGGGUUAGGGUUAAGUUUAGCGUUAGUUUUGCUUAGGGUUAGGGUUUGAAUGAAGUUAGGGUAGGUUUAAGGUUAUGGUUCAGGUGAAAUUUUGGUUAAGGUUGAGGGUUCGGUUUCGGGUUAGGGUUAGAGUUAGGGUUAGUAGUUAGGGUUAGGUUUAGGGUUAAGGUUAGGUUUAGGCUAAGGAUUAGGGUUAGAGUUAAGGUUAGGGGUUAGUGUUUCAGUUAGGUUUAGGAUAGGGUUAUAAUUAAGGUUAAGUUUAGGGUUACGGUAAGAGUUAGAUUUACGUUUACAGUUAAGGUGAAGGUUUUGGGUAACUGUUACGGUUAGGGUUAGGGCUAGGUUUAGGGUUAGAGUUUGGGUUAGGGUUAGGUUUAAGUUUAUGGUAAGCUUUAAGUUAGGGUUAAGGUUAGGUUAGGGUUAGGGUCAGGGUUAGGAUUAGAAUUAGGUUUCAGGCCAACAUUAGGGUCAGAGUUAUCAUAAGGGUUAGGUUUAGGGUUACAGAUGGGCCAAGGUUAAGGUUAGGGUUAGGUUUAGGGAUAGGAUUAGGGUUAAAGUUAGGGUUAGCCUUAGGUUAGGGAUAGGGUGAAGUAAGAUAGGGUGAGGGUUAGGGUUAUGGCUAAGGUUUGGGUUCGUUUUCAGGUUAGUGUUAAGUUUAUGUUUAGGGUUAGGGUUAAGUUUAUGGGUUCUGUUUAGUUUUAGGGUUAGGGUUAGAUUUUAAGUUAGGGUUAAGUUAAGUGUAACAGUUAGGGUUACGAUUUGUAUUAGGCAUUGUGGUUGGGGUGAGGGUUAGGUUUUUGGUUAGGGUUGGGUAGGGUUAGGAUUAUGGUUAUGGUAAGGUGUUAGGGUGUAGAGGUGUAGUUAAGGGUUAGGGUUUGGGUGAGGGUUUCGGUUAGGCAUUGUGGUUCUGGUCAUGGUUAAGUUUGGUUCAGUUUUAGGGUUAGGUUUAUGAUUUGGUUUCGGGUUAGUGUUAGAGUUAGGGUGAGGGAUAGUGUUAAGGUUUGGGUUAGGUUUUGGUGUUAUGGGUUAGGGUUUGGGUUAGGGUUAGUGUUAUCUUUAUGGCUAGGGGUUUCAGGUUAGUGUUGUGGUUAGGGCUAGGGUUAGCAUUAGGGUUAGGGUUGUGGGCUACGGUUAGGGGUUAGAGUGAAGGUUACGGUUAGUUUUACAGUUAAGGUGCGGGUUUAGGGUAAGUGUUAUGAUUAGGGUUAGAGUUCGAGUUAGGGUUAGGUUUAGGGUUAGGGUUAGGUGUAGGGUAAUAUUUAGGUUUACGUCCAAGUUUAGGGUUAGUUAGUGUUGUAUUUAGGGUCAGAGCUAGUGUUCUAUUUAGGGUCAAGUUUAGAGUUAGGGUUAGGUUUAGGAUUAGGAUUAUGUUUAGGGUUAGGUUCAGGGCUAUCGUAAGGGUUAGGUUUAGGGUUUCAGAUGGACUAGUGUUAUGGUUAGAGUUAGGUUUAAGGUAAGGGUUUUGCUUAGGUUUAGGUUAGGGCUAAGGUUAGGGUUAGGGUUUGGAUGAUGUUUAGGCUAGGGUGAGGGUUAUUUUUAUGGUUAGGGCUGGAGUUUGGGUUUGUGCUCACGUUACUUUUAAGGUCAGGUUUAGGGUUUGGAUUAGGGUUAGGGGUUAUGUUUAGGGUUAGAUUUACGAACAGGGUUAGUAUUAGUGUGAAGUUCAGGUUAAGUGUGAGGGUUAGGAUAAGGGUUAGGAUUAGGGUUAGAAUUAUAAUGUUAGACAUUAGGUUUAGGGUGUUAGGUUUAGGUUUAUGGUUAGGCUAGUCUUAAGUUUAAGGUUAAUGUUAGGGUUAGGAUUAGAUUAGGGCUACUCUUCGUGUUAGAGUUAGGGUUAGAGAUAAGUUUAGGGAUAGCAUUAGGUUUAGGGUUGGGGACACGGUUAAGGGUUAGGGUGUGUGUUAGUGUUAGGUUUACCGUUAAGGAGAGGGUUUAGGUUAAUUGUUAUGGUUAGGGUUAGAGUUAGAGUUAGGGUUAGGGUUAGGGUGAAGUUUCAGUUAAUAGUGAGGGUUAGGGUUAAGGUUAGAGUUAGGGUUAAGGUUAGUGUCAGGGUUAGGUUUAGGGUUAGGGUUACGGUAGGGGUAAGGUUACUGUGAAGGCUAGGUUUACGGUAAAGGGUAGUGCUGGGUUAGGGUUAGGGUUACGUUUAGAGUUAUUGUUAGGCUUAAGUUUAGGGUUAGGGUAGAGUUAAUGUUAGGGUUAAUUUUAGGGUUAGGGUAAGGGUUAGGUUUAGUUCAGGGUUAGGGCUAGGAUUAGGGAUAGGGUUAGGAUUGGGGGAUGGGUUAGAGAUUCGUGUGAGGGUUAGUGUCAGGUUUACAGUUAAGCUGAUGUUUUAGGGUGUUACAGUUAGGGUUAGGGUUAGAGUUAGGGUUAGGAUUAGGUUUAUGCUUAGGAUUAGGGUUAGGGUUAGGGUCAGGGUUAGGUGGAGAUUUAGUGUCAUGUUUAGGUUGUUUUUUUAGUUUUAGGGUUAGGCUUAGUGUGAAGUUUAUUUUAAUUAUGAGGUUUAGGGUUAGGGGUUAGGGUUAGGUUAUGUUUAGUUUUAGGUUUGGGGUUAGUGUUAGCGUUAGGGUUAGUUUUAGUUUUGGUUAGGGUUUGAAUGAAUUUAAGGUAGGUUUAGCGUUAUGGUUAGGGUGAAGUUUUGGUUAAGGGUGAGGGUUUGUUUUAGGUUUAGGGUUAGGGUUAGAGUUAGGGUGAGUGUUUAGGUUUAGGUUUAAGGUUAAGUUUAGAUUUAGGCUAAUGAUUAGGUUUAGAGUUAGGGUUAGGGGUUAUUGUUUCAGUUAGGUUUAGGGUAGGGUUAUUUUUAGGGUUAAGUAUAGGGUUAGGGUAAGAGUUAGAAUUACAUUUACAGUUGAGUGUUUUGGGUGUUACUGUUAGGGUUAGGGCUAGGGUUACAGGUAGAGUUAGGGUUAGAGGUUAGGGUUAGGUGUAAGUUUAUGGUAGCCUUAAUGUUAGGUUAAGGUUAGGUUAGGGUUAGGGUCAGGGUUAGGAUUAGGUUUAGGGUGAGGGUUAGGGUCAGAGAUAUUGUAAGGGUUAGGUUUAGGGUUACAAGUGGGCCAAGGUUAAGGUUAGGGUUAGGUUUAGGGGUAGGGUUAGGGUUAGCUUUAGGUUAGGGAUAGGGUGAAGUUUAAGAUAGGGUGAGGGUUAGGGUUAUGGCUAAGGUUUGGGUUAGUUUUUGGGUUAGUGUUAAGGUUAUGUUUAGGGUUAGGGUUAAGUGUAUGGGUUGUGUUUAGUUUUAGGGUUAGGGUUAGAUUUUAGGUUAGGGUUGAGUUUAGUGUAACAGUUAAGUUUGCGGUUUGUGUUAGGCCUUGUGGUUGGGGUGAGGUUUAGGUUUAUGGUUAGGGUUGUGUAUGCUUAGGAUUAUGGUUAUGGUAAGCUGUUAGGGGUUAGAAGUGUAGUUUAGGGUUAGGGGUGGAUGAGGGUUCUGGUAAAGCAUUGUGGUUCUGACCAUGGUUAGGUUUGGUUUAGGGUUACGGUUAGGUUUAUGAUUAGGUUUCAGGUUAGUGUUCGAGUUAGGGUGAGAGUUAGGGUUAAGGUUUGGGUUAGGCUUUGGUGUUAGGGGUUAGGGUUUGGGUUAGGGUUAGGGUUAUCGUUAGGGCUCGGGGGUUCAGGUUAGUGUUAGGGGUAGGGUUACGGAUAGCAUUAGGGUUAGGGUUGGGGGAUACGGUUAGGGGUUAGGGUGAGGGUUACAGUUAGUUUUACAGUUUAGGUGAGGGUUUAGGUUAAGUGUCAUCAUUAGGGUUAGAGUUAGGGUUAGGAUUAGGGUUAUGGUUAGGUGUAGGGCAAUAUUUAGGUUUAGGUGCCGGUUUAUGGUUAGAGUUAGUGUUCAAUUUAGGGUCAAGGCUAGAUUUAGGGUUAGGGUUAGGUUUAGGUCUAGGGUUAGGAUUAAGUUUAGGGUUAAGUUCAGGGCUAUUGUAAGGGUUAGGUUUAGGGUUACAUUUGGCCUAGCGUUAUGGUUAGAGUUAUGUUUAAGGAUAGGGUUUGGGUUAGGUUUAGGUUUAGGGUUUGGAUGUUUAGGAUAGGGUGAGGGUUAUUUUUAUUGUUAGGGCUAGAGUUUGGGUUUGUGUUCAGGUUAGUAUUAAGGUUAGGUUUAGGGUUCAGUUUAGGGUUGGUGUUAUGUUUAGGGUUAGGUUUAGGUUUAGCAUUAGUAUGAAGUUUAGGUUAAGGGUGAGGGUUCAGACGAGGGUUAGGAUAAGGGUUAGGGUUUUAGUUAGUGUCAGAUGUUAGGUUUAGGGUGUUAGGGUUAGGUUUUUGGUUAGGGUAGGCUUAAAUUUAGGGUUAGUGUUAGGGUUAGAUUAGAGUUACUGUUCGUAUUAGGGUUAGGGUUAAGAAUAAGGUUAGGGAGAGCGUUAGGUUUAGGGUUGCAGAAAUGGUUAAGGCUAGGGUGAUGGUUAGGGUUAGGUUUACUUUUAAGUGUUUGGUUUAGGUUAAUUGUUAAGGUUAGGGUUAGAGUUAGGGUUAGGGUGAAGUUCCAGAAAAUAGUGAGAGUUAGGGUUAAGGUUAGAGUUAGGUUUAAGGUUCGUGUUAGGGUUAGGUUUAGGGUAGGGGUAAGGUAGGGUUAAGGCUCGGUUUACGGUAAAGGGUUGCGCUAGGUUAGGGUCAGGGUUAGGGUUAGAGUUAGAGUUAGUGCUAGGGUUUAGGGUUAGGGUUAGGGUCAAGUUUAGAGUUAUUGCUACGUUUAGGGUUAGUGUUACGGUAGAUUUAGGGUUAGGGUUAAGUUUAGGCAUACGGUACAGAUUAGGUUUAGGUCAGGUUUAGGUUAGGAUUAGGGAUAGGUUAGGGUUAGGGAAAGAGUUAGGGGUUCGUGUGGUUGUUAGUGUUAGGUUUAUACUUAAGCUGGUGUUUUAGGGUGUUAGGGCUAGGGUUAGGGUUAGGGUUAGAUUUAGGGUUAGGGCAUAGUUUAGGGUUAAUUUUGCUUUAGGGUUAGGUUUAGGUUUAGGUUUUGGGUGAAGAUUAGGUUAAGGAUGAGGGUUAGGGUUAGUAUUAGGGAUAGGUGUUUGCGUUCAUGUUAGGGUCAGGUUAAUGGUUAGGUUUAGUGUUAUGCUUAGGAUUCGGUUUAGGGUUAGGCUUAGAGAGAAAUGACUCAUGGUAGUCGUUUUCUGGAUGAGGAACGAAUAUGCAGUGUUGGCGUUAAGCUGUUGUGAAGGCUCGUUUUGGCCCGGGAAAACAAAGCACCUGGGGAAAUCCUAUCAAACCCUGGUGUCUUUCCACAGUUCAAAGUGUGUAACUGCAGACUCUUUUCCAAAUAAGAGAGCGCACAGGCAACAGCAGCCUGCCUGUUUCUCAGUGGAAGGGAGAACUCCCUGACUUCAUCCAGUCCUCUGAGCAAAGCAGGCAGAAGGAGAGAAACUUUCUUUCCUUCCUCUUUUCUGCAAUGAAUUCCUCAUUUGCUCUUGCAAACGCAAGGCUUCUUCUGAAAAACUACAUCGCAGUGCAUGUAUCCUUCCAGAGGAGCAACUACAUAGUUUUAGCUUUAACAUAUUCGGAAAGCACCCAGGGAGAAAAGGUCUUUUCGUAUUCUCUUUUCUGUCUGAAUUUGGUCAUUUUGCACUUGCCGAAAGAGAAUUCCUAGCACAAACUACAAAGCAGUAACUCUCUCCUGGCAGAGUAAAUCCUAUGCAGUGUUGCCCUGACGAGAUACUGUUUGUACAGUGAGGCCUAGGGAAAACACAUUGCCUAGAGAAAUCCUAGCAAAGCCGUGUGUUUCCCCACAUGAAUGUAUGUCAGUUUCAGUUAUUUGCCAAGAACAGAGCUCAGAGGCAACAUCAGAUUUUGUGUUUCUCAGUCAAAAAAAGAACACUGUGACUUCAUCCGUUCCUCUGACGAAAACAGUUAGAAUGAGAAAACAGUCUUUCGGUUUCGCUUUCCCGUAGUGAGCUCGGCAAAUCUCCCCUUUGCAAAGGGAAGUUUUCCUCUGGAGAACUGCCUUGCGGUAGCUGUAUUCUGGAAGUGGAACGAGUAUGCUUCAAGCUAUUGUGAAGGCUCUUUUUGGCCCAGAGAAAACAAAGUGCCUAGGAAAAUCUUAACAAACCACAGUGCCUUUCCACAGUUCAAAGUGUGUAACUGCAGACUCUUUUCCAAAUAAGAGAGCACAGAGGGAACAGCAUCCUGUGUGUUCCUCAGUGGAAGGGAGAACUCCCUGACUUCAUCCAGUCCUCUGAGCAAAGCAGGGAGAAGUAGAGAAACUUUCUUUCAUUCCUCUUUCCUGCAAUGAAUUUUUCAUUUGCUCUUGCAAACGUAUGGCUUCUACUGAAAAACUGCUAAUCCUAACCCUAACCCUAACCUUAACACUAAACCUAAACCUAACCCUAACUUGACCCUAACCUUAACCCAAACACCUAAGCAAACACUACCCCUAACUCUAACCCUCAUCCUUAACCUAAACUUCACCCUAAACCUAAGCCUAAUCCAAACCCUAAAACUAAACCUAACCCUAAACUAUCCCCUCACUCUAACUCUAAACCUAAACCUAACCCUAUCCCUAACUCUAACCCUGACCCUAACCGUAACACCCGAAAACAUCAGCAUAACUGGAAACCUAACACUAACACUCACACGGACCCCUAACCCUUUCCCUAACCUUAACCCUAUAACUAAUUUUGGCUCUAACCCUCACCUAAACCUAACCCUUACCCUAACCCUAACCAUAAGCCUAACCUUUACUCUACCAUAACCCUAUCCUAAGCCUAACAAUAACUCUAAAACUAACACUAACCCUAACCGUAAACCCUAGCACUAACUCUAAAUUUAAACCUAAGUGUAACCGCAACCCUCAACCUAUCUUAAAAUUCGCCCUAUCACUAACCUGAAGGUAACCCUAACUUUAACCCUAACCCUACCUCUAAACCUAACUGUAACCUUAACAUUAACCCAUCUGUAACCCUAAACCUAACCCUUACAAUAAUUCUGGCCCUAACCCUCAACCUAAAGCUAAUACUAAUCCUAACCCUGACCCUAACCAUUACCUAACCUUAACCCUACCACGAACUUAAACAAAACCUUAAACCCUAACCCUAACUCUAACCCUAACCCUAGCCCGAACCCAAACCCUAACGCUAACUCUAACUAUGACUCUAACCCUCACCCUAAAACUAAUCCUAAACCCUAGCACUAACACUGACUCUAAACCUGACCCUAACCCUAGCCCGAACCCAAACCCUAACGCUAACUCUAACUAUGACUCUAACCCUCACCCUAAAACUAAUCCUAAACCCUAGCACUAACACUAACUCUAAACCUGACCCUAAACCUAGCUUAGCCCUACCCUGUACUGUAAACCUAGCCUUAAGCCUAACCAUACCACUACCCUAACCCUAACUCUAUCUCUAGCCCUAACACUAACUCCUACCUUAACCCUAACACUAACCCUAACCCUAACUCGAACUCUAACCCUAACAAUAACAGUUGCCCUAAACCCUCACUUUAACUGUAAACCUAAACCUAACCCUCACCCUAACCCCUAACUGUAUCCCCCAACACUAACCCUAAUGCUAUCCCUAACCCUAACCAGAACCCCUAAGCCCUAAUGAUAACCCUAACCCUAGAACAAAACCUAACCCCUAACACCAAAGCCUAUCCCAAAACAUAAUGCUAACUCUAACCCUAACUCUAACACUAACCCUAAACCUAAUCAUAAACCUAACACUAACCCUAAACCAAACCUAACCAUGACCAGAACCACAAUGCCUAACCGGAAUCUUCACCCAAACCCUAACCCUAAACUACACCUCUAACUCCUAACACCUUACCAUAACCAUAAUCCUAACCCUAUCCAAACCUAACCCUAAACCUAAACCAAACCCCAACCAUAACGCCUAACACAAACCGUAACCCUAACCCUAAAUGUAAAACUAAAUUUAAACCUAGGUUAAAACCUAACCCUACCCUAAAACUAAAAAAAAGGAACCCAAAAACUUAACCCUAACCCUAAACAUAACCUUAACACUAACCUGAAAACUAACCCAAACCUUAGCCAUAACCCUAACCCUCACCCUAUCUUAAACUUCACCUUAUCCCUAACCUAAAGCUACCCCUAACUUUAACCCUAACCAUACCCCUAAACCUAACCCUAACCUUAACCUUGGCCCACCUGUACCCCUAAAACUAACCCUUACAAUAACUUUGACCCUAACACUCACCCUAAACCUAAUCCUAAUCCUAACCCUGACCCUAACCCUAACCUAAACUUAACCCUAAAUUUAACCUUACCAUAUACUUAAACCUAACCCUAACCCCUAACCCUAACUCUACCCGAACCCUAGCCCUCAACCUAACCCUAAACUUAACCGUAACACUUACCCAAAAAACUCACCUUAAAUGUAAAUGUAACUCUAACUCUUACCCUAACCCUGAACUUAACCCUAAUUAUAACCCUACCCUAAACCUAACCAAAACACUCACCCCUAACCCUAACUCUAGCCCUAAUCCUUAGCCUAAACCUAACCUUAACCCUAACCUAACCCUAACCACUAACCCUAAGUCUAACUCUAAACCUAAUCAUAAACCGAACCCUUACUUUAACCAAAAUUUCACUCUAAUCACAACCCUAACCCUACCCUAACUUCAUUCAAAGCCUAAUCCUAAGCAAAACUAACACUAACCCUAAACAUAACCCUAGCCCUAAAACUAACCCUAACCCCUAACGUCACGCUUAACAUAAACUUCACCCUAACCCGAACCCUAAAACUAAACAUAACACUAAAUCUCCCCCAAACUCUAACCCUAACCCUAAUUCUAACCAUAAACCUAACCCUAACCCUAAACUUAACCCUAACCCUGACCCUAACUCCAACUCUAACCCUAAAACUUACCCUACACACUCAGCUUAAAUGGAAACCUAGCACUAACCCUCACCCUAACAUUGAAACCUAACCCCAACCCUUAACCCAACCCUAUCUCUAACCAUAGCCUAGUCCUAAACCUAACCAAGACUUAAACCUAACACUUACCCUAACCCUAACUCUAAUCCUAACCUUAAUCCUAACCUUAACCUUACCCCCUAACGCUAACCCUAAGCUCAACUCUCACCCUUAAAAUAAACUUUACCCUAGCUGUAGCCCUAACCCUAAACCUGACCCUAACAUUAACCCAAACACCUAACCCUAAACCUGACCCUAACAUUAACCCAAACACCUAACCCUAAUCCUAACACUAAGCCCAACCCUAAACCUAACCCUAACCUUAACCCAAAUGCCUAAACCUAACCCUCACCCUCAUCCUUAACCUAAACUUCACCCUAAACCUAAGGCUAACCGUAACCCUAAAACUAAAGCUAACCCUUAACUACCCCCUAACUCUAGCAGUAACCCUAAACCUAAUGCUAACCCUAGCCCUAACCUUAACACCCUAAAACAUCAGCUUAAUGUAAACCUAACAGUAACCCUCACAUGAACCCCUAACCCUAACCCUAUCCCGCAUCCUACACCUAACCCAGACCUAAACCUAACCCUUUCUCUAACCCUAAACUUAACCCUAACCUUAACUCUACCCUAACCCUAACAAUAACUCUAAACCUGACCAUAACCAUAAUCCUUAACCCUAGCACUAACUCUAACUCUAACCCUAAGCUAGCCCUACCCUUUACCGUAAACCUAGCCUUAAUCCUAAACUUACCCCUACCCAAAACCUAACUCUAUACCUAACCCGAACACUAACCUUAACCCUACUCUAACCUUAACCCAAACCCUGACGAUUAACUGAAACUUCACCCUAACCCCCUAACAACAAACAACACUAACCCCCUAACAACAAACAACCCUAACCCCCUAACAACAAACAACACUAACCCUCUAACAACAAACAACCCUAACACCCGAACAAACAACCCUAACCCCCUAACAAAAACAACCCUAACCCUCUAACAAACAACCCUAACCCCCUAAAAAAAAACCCUGACCCCCGAACAACAAACAAUCCUAAGCCCCUAACAAAAAACAACCCUAACCCCCUAACAACAAACAACCCUAACCCCCUAACAAAAACAACCUUAACCCUCUAACAAACACAAUCCUAACCCCCUAACAACAAACAACCCUAACCCCUAACAACACACUACCCUAACACCCUAACAAAAACAACCGUAAACCCCUAACAAACAACACUAACCCCCUAACAAAUAACACUAACCCCCUAACAAACACAACCCUAACCCCCUAACAAUCAACCCUAACCCCCUAACAACAAACAACUCUAACCCCUAACAAACACAACCCUAACACCCUAACAAACACAACAUUAACCCGCAAACAAACACAACCAUAACCCCCCAAGAAAAACAACGCUAACCUCCUAACAAACAACCCUAAACCCCUAACAAAAACAACCCGCACCCCCUAAGAAACAGCCCUAACCCCCUAACAACAAACAACCCUAACCCCCUAACAAUGCUAACCCACUAACAAAAACAACCCUAACCCCCAACAGCAAACAACCCUAACCCCAUAACAACAAACAACACUAAUCCCCUAACAACAAACAACCCUAACCCCCUAAAAACAAACCCUAACCACUUAACAUCGAACAACCCUAACCCCCUAACAAAAGCAAACCUAACCCCCUAACAAACACAACCCUAACCCCCUAACAAACACAACCCUAACCCCCUAACAACAAACAAACCUAACCACCUAAAAACAAACAACCCUAACCCCCUAACAACAAACAACCCUGACCCCCUAACAAACACAACAUUAACCCCCAAACAAACACAACCCUAAACCUCUGACAAAAACAACCCUAACCGCCUAACAAACACAACACUAACCCCCUAACAACAAACAACCCUAACCCCCUAACAAAGACAACCCUAAAUCCGUAACAGCAAACAACCCUAAUCCCCAACAACAAACAACCCUAAACCUUUAACAUCGAACAACCCUAACCCCCUAAAAAAAGCAACCCUAACCCCCUAACAAACACAACCCUAACUCCCAACAACAAACAAACCUAACCACCUAACAACAAACAACCCUGACCCCCUAACAACAAACAACCAUAAACCCCUAACAAAAACAACCCUAACCCCCUAACAACAAACAACCCUAACCCCCUAACAACAAACAACCCUAACCCCCUAACAACAAACAACCCUAAACCCUUAACAACAAACAGUCCUAACACCCUAAAAACAAACCCUAACCUGCCAACAACAAACAACCCUAACCCCCUAACAACAAACAA